UAAUUGCGAUAAGUAGUGCGAUUUGCAUGCUCUGUGAGUCAUCGAAUCUUUGAACGCAUAUGGCGCCCUGCAGGCUUCCUGGGGGGCAUGCCUGUUUGAGAAUCAUUUAUAAUAAUAUCCUUUGAGCCUUCAUCACUGAUCGCUUGGAACGCGCGACUGUUGCUGUGCCAGUGGGCGUCUGCUCAACCUCAGCAAACACAAACUACUUAGUGAUCUCAAAUCAGGCAAGACUACCCGCUGAACUUAA
rnacentral:misc_RNA from 1 species